rnacentral:lncRNA from 1 species
CUUUUGAAAAACACUUAAAAAAACCAAUGUAACGCGACUCAAUGAUCUGACAAGUUUUCUCCUUCUUGCUCCAGCCAGUAUUGUGGUUUAUCCUCCUACGGCUAAUUGCCAUAUAGCGGCCACAUACCAUGGCUCGCGAAAACAAGUUCAGCUCAAUAAAGAGCAUCAUUACCCGCUUCGAUGGACUAAGAAAAAAUUUGUUUAUUUUUUUUGCUUAGCCUGUGUGAAUUCCGGUAUCGGCUAAAUGAGCUAUCUUUUAAUCAAGAAUAUAUCAUACAAACUUUCCCUACGUUCCUUGCAACAGGCAGGUUACAAGAAAAUCAUUUUUAAAACUAAGCAAACUUUAAGCAUCAUAUCAGAAUCAAUGGCAAGACAGCGAAAAAUCUAAGUUAUGGACUUUUUUUUGUCUUUUUCAAGUCAAGUUUUGCAAGUUAAGUAUAUUCUAGGCUGCUCAACUGUAGAUUGAAACUAUCCGUUAUGUUAUAGUACAAUUCUCAAUAAAGAUACGCUAAAUAAUAUAUGUAAAUUUACGUUGUAAUACAAAUCUCUGUAAAUCUA